AGCUUUGCGCAGUGACAUUACCGUAGCUGAUGAGGUCCAUCCGAGGCGCGGUUAUUGCUGAUUGAAAACUUUUCCCAAUACCCCGCGAGACGACUUGAAACAUAGUCGGCUUUGCAAUUUUUGUGGGCCCUGCUUAGNN
rnacentral:snRNA from 1 species